UAAUAAUUACAACUUUCAACAACGGAUCUCUUGGUUCUGGCAUCGAUGAAGAACGCAGCGAAAUGCGAUAAGUAGUGUGAAUUGCAGAAUUCAGUGAAUCAUCGAAUCUUUGAACGCACAUUGCGCCCCUUGGUAUUCCAUGGGGCAUGCUUGUUCGAGCGUCAUUU
rnacentral:rRNA from 1 species